UACGUAGGGUGCAAGCGUUGUCCGGAAUUAUUGGGCGUAAAGAGCUCGUAGGCGGUUUGUCGCGUCUGCUGUGAAAACUCGGGGCUUAACUCCGGGCCUGCAGUGGGUACGGGCAGACUAGAGUGCGGUAGGGGAGACUGGAAUUCCUGGUGUAGCGGUGGAAUGCGCAGAUAUCAGGAGGAACACCGGUGGCGAAGGCGGGUCUCUGGGCCGUAACUGACGCUGAGGAGCGAAAGCGUGGGGAGCGAACAGG
rnacentral:rRNA from 1 species